rnacentral:tRNA from 1 species
GGCCUCGUAGCUCAGUUAGCUAGAGCGUUGGCUGUACCCUGCUGGCGUGGGUUCAAAUCCCAUCGAGGCCG